ensembl:lncRNA
GCCAUCUGAUCUGAUCCAGCCAGAACCCGGGUCGGCGCUGUCUCGUGGGCCGGCCAUCUGAUCUGAUCCAGCCAGAACCCGGGUCGGCGCUGUCUGUCUCGUGGGUGGAACAAGAGAAAGAAAAAGAGACAAGCUGUUGGGAAGUAGAGGAAUCUGAGGAAUGUGUUGACUUCACACACGCGUGCACCACUUCUCCCCGACCCCCUUUCAGCCUGCCAGCCCCCCUCCCAGCCCUGAUUAGUGUGAAUCAAUGGAGUUCUGUGUUGUGGUGUCUGUUCUGCACGUGGUCCCCUGCCCCCAGCACAGAGACACAGCCACCACCCACACUGAACUGAGCCACAGCAGCAGGGCCUGCUUACGGCUGCACAGUCAAACCUUCUCCUAGUUCUGACAGCACACUGCUGUCUCCCUCUAAACAUUACCUCCGCCACAACGUUACAUUCACCUUGAAAGUCAAACCCACAUCAGUCCUGCAGCACAGCCAGCGGUUUGAUUUGUGAUUUAAACCUCUGCUUCAAUAUUUGUUUUGUUUUUCACACUAAAUUAGGAGACGUUGAGUUUUUCUCUAAUCCUGCUGCCUCUUGACAUCGGAGGUUCACACAACUUGAUUUUCCUGUUGUUGUUUCUGUAUGUAUGAUAUGAUGUUUAUUUCAGUGUGUUUUAUCAGUAUUCACCAUCAAUAGACACCGAUGUCCUUAUAUACAACAGGAUACAAGGGAGAGAGAGAGUAGAGAUAGAGAGGAGAGAGUAGAGAGUAGAGAGAGAGAGAGUAGAGAUAGAGAGGAGAGAGUAGAGAGUAGAGAGAGAGAGUAGAGAGAAUUCACCAUCAAUAGACACCGAUGUCCUUAUAUACAACAGGAUACAAGGGAGAGAGAGAGGAGAGAGAGAGAGUAGAGAGUAGAGAGUAGAGAGAGAGAGAGUAGAGAGAGAGAGAGAGAGAGAGUAGAGAGUAGAGAGAGAGAGUAGAGAGUAGAGAGAGAGAGUAGAGAGAGAGAGUAGAGAGAGAGAGUAGAGAGUAGAGAGAGAAUCCACCAUCAAUAGACACUGAUGUCCUUAUGUACAACAGGAUAUAAGGGAGAGAGAGAGUAGAGAGAGAGAGUAGAGAGUAGAGAGAGAGUAGAGAGUAGAGAGAGAGAGUAGAGAGUAGAGAGAAUUCACCAUCAAUAGACACUGAUGUCCUUAUAUACAACAGGAUAUAAGGGAGAGAGAGAGUAGAGAGUAGAGAGAGAGAGUAGAGAGAGAGAGUAGAGAGUAGAGAGUAGAGAAGAGAGAGAGAGUAGAGAGAGAGAUUAAAGAGUAGAGAGUAGAGAGAGAGAGUAGAGAGAGAGAGUAGAGAGAGAGAGUAGAGAGUAGAGAGAGAGAGUAGAGAGAGAAUUCACCAUCAAUAGACACUGAUGUCCUUAUGUACAACAGGAUAUAAGGGAGAGAGAGAGUAGAGAGAGAGAGUAGAGAGAGAGAAGUAGAGUAGAGAGAGAGAGUAGAGAGAGUAGAGAUAGAGAG